GGCAGACGGGUGAGUAACGCGUGGGAAUCUACCCAGUUCUCUGGAAUAACUGAUGGAAACGUCAGCUAAUACCGGAUACGCCCUUUUGGGGAAAGAUUUAUCGGGAUUGGAUGAGCCCGCGUAAGAUUAGCUAGUUGGUGGGGUAAUGGCCUACCAAGGCGACGAUCUUUAGCUGGUCUGAGAGGAUGAUCAGCCACACUGGGACUGAGACACGGCCCAGACUCCUACGGGAGGCAGCAGUGGGGAAUAUUGGACAAUGGGGGCAACCCUGAUCCAGCCAUGCCGCGUGAGUGAUGAAGGCCUUAGGGUUGUAAAGCUCUUUCACCGGUGAAGAUAAUGACGGUAACCGGAGAAGAAGCCCCGGCUAACUUCGUGCCAGCAGCCGCGGUAAUACGAAGGGGGCUAGCGUUGUUCGGAAUUACUGGGCGUAAAGCGCACGUAGGCGGAUAUUUAAGUCAGGGGUGAAAUCCCGGAGCUCAACUCCGGAACUGCCUUUGAUACUGGAUAUCUAGAGACCGAGAGAGGUAAGUGGAACUCCUAGUGUAGAGGUGGAAUUCGUAGAUAUUAGGAAGAACACCAGUGGCGAAGGCGGCUUACUG
rnacentral:rRNA from 1 species